rnacentral:rRNA from 1 species
CGACCGCUGGCGGCAUGCCUAACACAUGCACGUCGAACGAGAUCCUUCGGGGUCUAGUGGCGCACGGGUGCGUAACGCGUGGGAAUCUGCCCUUAGGUUCGGAAUAACAGUUAGAAAUGACUGCUAAUACCGGAUGAUGACGUUAAGUCCAAAGAUUUAUCGCCUGAGGAUGAGCCCGCGUAGGAUUAGCUAGUUGGUGUGGUAAAGGCGCACCAAGGCGACGAUCCUUAGCUGGUCUGAGAGGAUGAUCAGCCACACUGGGACUGAGACACGGCCCAGACUCCUACGGGAGGCAGCAGUGGGGAAUAUUGGACAAUGGGCGCAAGCCUGAUCCAGCAAUGCCGCGUGAGUGAUGAAGGCCUUAGGGUUGUAAAGCUCUUUUACCCGAGAUGAUAAUGACAGUAUCGGGAGAAUAAGCCCCGGCUAACUCCGUG